rnacentral:rRNA from 1 species
AUGAACGCUAGCUACAGGCUUAACACAUGCCAGUCGCGGGGCAGCAUGGGGGUUGCUUGCAAUCCCCGAUGGCGACCGGCGCACGGGUGAGUAACGCGUAUCCAACCUGCCCUUCACCACGGGAUAACCCGGCGAAAGUCGGACUAAUACCGUAUGUUGUCCAUUGACGGCAUCCGAUUUGGACGAAAGGCUUGGCGGUGAGGGAUGGGGAUGCGUCCGAUUAGCCAGACGGCGGGGUAACGGCCCACCGUGGCUACGAUCGGUAGGGGUUCUGAGAGGAAGGUCCCCCACACUGGAACUGAGACACGGUCCAGACUCCUACGGGAGGCAGCAGUGAGGAAUAUUGGUCAAUGGGCGUAAGCCUGAACCAGCCAAGUAGCGUGCAGGAUGACGGCCCUAUGGGUUGUAAACUGCUUUUAUGCGGGGAUAAAGUGGCCCACGUGUGGGCUUUUGCAGGUACCGCAUGAAUAAGGACCGGCUAAUUCCGUG